AACGCACAUUGCGCCCCUUGGUAUUCCAUGGGGCAUGCCUGUUCGAGCGUCAUUGACACCCUCAAGCUCUGCUUGGUGUUGGGCCGUUGUCGUUUUCUCGCCCCCCAGCGACACAGCGACACCCCUCAAAGUCAUUGGCGGCCUUUCUGCCCAGCUUCCCGCGCAGCAGUUCGCGCUUCGGAGACCACUUGGCAGGCUGGCAUCCAUCAAGCUGACCCCCUUCACGCUUGACCUCGGAUCAGGUAGGGAUACCCGCUGAACUUAA
rnacentral:misc_RNA from 1 species